GAUGAACGCUAGCGGCAGGCUUAAUACAUGCAAGUCGUGGGGCAGCAGGCCUGUAGCAAUACAGUUGCUGGCGACCGGCAAACGGGUGCGGAACACGUACGCAACUUACCCUGUACUGGGGGAUAGCCCGGGGAAACCCGGAUUAAUACCACGUAAUCUAGUUGCGUGGCGUCACUUUAUUAUUAACGCUCCGGCGGUUCGGGAUGGGCGUGCGGCUGCUUAGGGAGUUGGUUGAGGUAACGGCUCACGAAGCCUACGAUCAGUAACUGGUGUGAGAGCAGCAGCAGUGAGAGGGGGACUGGGACAAGGGGCCGAGUCCUACGGCAGGCAGCAGUAAGGAAGACAGGGGAAUGGAGGCAAGUCUGACCCAGCGAUGCCGGGUGGAGGAAGAAGGCGUUCUGGGUGGUAGACUUCUUGUAGAGGGGAGGAAUCGUGUGUAUUCUUGCGUAAGUGACGGUACCCGAGGAAGAAGCACCGGCUAACUACGUG
rnacentral:rRNA from 1 species